AUUGCCUUAGUAACGGCGAGUGAAGCGGCAAAAGCUCAGAUUUGAAAUCUGAUGUCAGUCUUUGGCGUCCGAGUUGUAAUCUGUAGAGGAGUAUUCGAGUAUAGCUGUGGCUUAAGUUCCUUGGAACAGGGCGUCAGAGAGGGUGAGAACCCCGUAAUUGGCCCUUGUCUUAUGGUCAUGUGAAUCUCCUUCAGCGAGUCGAGUUGUUUGAGAAUGCAGCUCUAAAUGGGUGGUAAAUUCCAUCUAAAGCUAAAUACCUGCAAGAGACCGAUAGCGCACAAGUAGAGUGAUCGAAAGAUGAAAAGAACUCUGAACAGAGAGUUAAAUAGUACGUGAAAUUGUUGAAAGGGAAGCACUUGCUACCAGACGCACUUGCAGCUGAUCAACCUUCAAUUUUUGGAGGUGCACUUGGUUGUAUGUGGGCCAGCAUCAGUUAUGACGGUGGGAUAAAGAUUUGGGGAAUGUGGCUCUCUUCGGGGAGUGUUAUAGCCUCGAGUGUAAUCCCGCCAGAUGUGACUGAGGCCCGCGCCU
rnacentral:rRNA from 1 species